AGCGAACGCUGGCGGCAGGCUUAACACAUGCAAGUCGAACGGGCACUUCGGUGCUAGUGGCAGACGGGUGAGUAACGCGUGGGAACGUGCCUUUCGGUUCGGAAUAAUCCAGGGAAACUUGGACUAAUACCGGAUACGCCCUUCGGGGAAGAUUUAUCGCCGAAGAUCGGCCCGCGUCUGAUUAGCUAGUUGGUGAGGUAAAGGCUCACCAAGGCGACGAUCAGUAGCUGGUCUGAGAGGAUGAUCAGCCACACUGGGACUGAGACACGGCCCAGACUCCUACGGGAGGCAGCAGUGGGGAAUAUUGGACAAUGGGCGAAAGCCUGAUCCAGCCAUGCCGCGUGAGUGAUGAAGGGCCUUAGGGGUUGUAAAGCUCUUUUGUCCGGGAAGAUAAUGACUGUACCGGAAGAAUAAGCCCCGGCUAACUUCGUGCCAGCAGCCGCGGUAAU
rnacentral:rRNA from 1 species